rnacentral:rRNA from 1 species
AUGGGAGUGAGAAUGUUGGCAUGAGUAGCGAGAUGUGGGUGAGAAUCCCACAGGCCGUAAACCCAAGGUUUCCAGGGGAAGGUUCGUCCGCCCUGGGUUAGUCGGGACCUAAGCUGAGGCCGAAAGGCGUAGGGGAUGGACAACAGGUUGAUAUUCCUGUACUACCGAUAACCGUUUGAGAGAAGGGAUGACACAGUAGGAUAAGCUAAGCAC